UUUUCAUUGCUUGUUUAUCGGACGAUAUAAUUCAGAGUCUGACUCCGGCGAGCCCGCGUCAGAUUGCUCCAACGGCUGUUUCCAGCGUCUCGCCGAAGCAACGUCGAGUAGUCACGGGUGGAGUUCCUGAAGGAAAACUCGGUAAUGAUCCUUCCGCAGGUUCACCUACGGAAA
rnacentral:misc_RNA from 1 species